rnacentral:rRNA from 1 species
UACGUAGGGGGCAAGCGUUGUCCGGAAUUAUUGGGCGUAAAGAGCUCGUAGGCGGUCUGUCGCGUCUGCUGUGAAAACUCAGGGCUUAACCCUGAGCUUGCAGUGGGUACGGGCAGACUAGAGUGCGGUAGGGGAGACUGGAAUUCCUGGCGUAGCGGUGAAAUGCGCAGAUAUCAGGAGGAACACCGGUGGCGAAGGCGGGUCUCUGGGCCGUAACUGACGCUGAGGAGCGAAAGCAUGGGGAGCGAACAGG